AACUUUUAGCAACGGAUCACUUGGUUCUGGCAUCGAUGAAGAACGCAGCGAAAUGCGAUAAGUAAUGCGAAUUGCAGAAUUCAGUGAGUCAUCGAAUCUUUGAACGCAUAUUGCGCCCUGUGGUAUUCCGCAGGGCAUGCCUGUUCGAGCGUCAUUUCAACCCUCAAGCUCUGCUUGGUGUUGGGCCCCGCCCGCUCGCGGCCGGCCCUAAAGACAGUGGCGGCGGCGUCUGGCUCCAAGCGUAGUACAGCUCUCGCUCUGGGGCUAGGCGGUAGCCUGCCAGAACCCCCUUCUAUGGUUGACCUCGGAUCAGGUAGGGAUACCCGCUGAACUUAAGCAUAUCAAUAAGCGGAGGCU
rnacentral:misc_RNA from 1 species